rnacentral:rRNA from 1 species
CAGUCGCCGCGGGAAUACAGAGGGUGCGAGCGUUAAUCGGAUUUACUGGGCGUAAAGCGUGCGUAGGCGGCUUUUUAAGUCGGAUGUGAAAUCCCUGAGCUUAACUUAGGAAUUGCAUUCGAUACCGGGAAGCUAGAGUAUGGGAGAGGAUGGUAGAAUUCCAGGUGUAGCGGUGAAAUGCGUAGAGAUCUGGAGGAAUACCGAUGGCGAAGGCAGCCAUCUGGCCUAAUACUGACGCUGAGGUACGAAAGCAUGGGGAGCAAACAGGAUUAGAUACCCCAGUAGUCCCUGUCUCUUAUAC